GAUGAACGCUGGCGGCGUGCCUAAUACAUGCAAGUCGAGCGAAUGGAUUAAGAGCUUGCUCUUAUGAAGUUAGCGGCGGACGGGUGAGUAACACGUGGGUAACCUGCCCAUAAGACUGGGAUAACUCCGGGAAACCGGGGCUAAUACCGGAUAACAUUUUGAACCGCAUGGUUCGAAAUUGAAAGGCGGCUUCGGCUGUCACUUAUGGAUGGACCCGCGUCGCAUUAGCUAGUUGGUGAGGUAACGGCUCACCAAGGCAACGAUGCGUAGCCGACCUGAGAGGGUGAUCGGCCACACUGGGACUGAGACACGGUCCAGACUCCUACGGGAGGCAGCAGUAGGGAAUCUUCCGCAAUGGACGAAAGUCUGACGGAGCAACGCCGCGUGAGUGAUGAAGGCUUUCGGGUCGUAAAACUCUGUUGUUAGGGAAGAACAAGUGCUAGUUGAAUAAGCUGGCACCUUGACGGUACCUAACCAGAAAGCCACGGCUAAUUACGUGCCAGCCGCCGCGGUAA
rnacentral:rRNA from 1 species